GGGGUGAAAAACCCCCCCGCCGAAAGAUCAAGGUUUCCUGUCCAACGUUAAUCGGGACAGGGUGAGUCGGCACCUAAGGCGAGGGCGAAGGCCGUAGUCGAUGGAAAAUCGGUUAAAAUUCCGAUACCGAUUCUUACUGCGAUGGAGGGACGGAGCAGGCUAGGCUAGCACGGCGUUGGUAGUCCGUGUUUAAGCGUGUAGGUAGGGGGAUUAGGUAAAUCCGGUUCCUCGU
rnacentral:rRNA from 1 species